rnacentral:rRNA from 1 species
GACGAACGCUGGCGGCGUGCCUAAUACAUGCAAGUAGAACGCUGAAGGAGGAGCUUGCUCUUCUGGAUGAGUUGCGAACGGGUGAGUAACGCGUAGGUAACCUGCCUGGUAGUGGGGGAUAACUAUUGGAAACGAUAGCUAAUACCGCAUAAUAACAGUUGUUGCAUGACAACUGUUUGAAAGGUGCAAUUGCAUCACUACCAGAUGGACCUGCGUUGUAUUAGCUAGUUGGUGGGGUAACGGCUCACCAAGGCGACGAUACAUAGCCGACCUGAGAGGGUGAUCGGCCACACUGGGACUGAGACACGGCCCAGACUCCUACGGGAGGCAGCAGUAGGGAAUCUUCGGUAAUGGACGAAAGUCUGACCGAGCAACGCCGCGUGAGUGAAGAAGGUUUUCGGAUCGUAAAGCUCUGUUGUAAGAGAAGAACGAGUGUGAGAGUGG